rnacentral:rRNA from 1 species
AACAUCGCCUCUUGAUUAAUAUAAGAGGUCCAGCCUGCCCAGUGACUUCUGUUUAACGGCCACAGUAUCCUAACUGCGCAAAGGUAGCAUAAUCACUUGUUUUCUAAAUAAAGACUAGUAUGAAAGGCAUCACGAGGGUCAAACUGUCUCCUUUUUCUAAUCAGUGAAACUAAUCUUUUCGUGAAAAAGCGAAAAUAAUAUUAUAAGACGAGAAGACCCUAUGGAGCUUUAAACUUUAUAGCACUUGCACUAACCUAAAUUAACCCUCAAUACGCAUCUUGCUAAAAGUUUUAGGUUGGGGUGACCGCGGAGAAAAAUUAAUCCUCCACAAUGAAUAGAACUAAAUCUUAAGUAAAAAGCCACAACUUGAUACAUCAAUACCCUUGACAUAUGUUGAUCCAAUGUUUUGACCAACGAACCAAGUUACCCUAGGGAUAACAGCGCCAUCCAUUUUGAGAGUUCCUAUCGACAAAUGGGCUUACGACCUCGAUGUUGGAUCAGGGCAUCCAAGUGGUGCAACCGCUACUAAUGGUUCGUUUGUUCAACGAUUAAAACCCUACGUG